rnacentral:rRNA from 1 species
GAUGAACGCUGGCGGCGUGCCUAAUACAUGCAAGUCGAGCGAACGGACGAGAAGCUUGCUUCUCUGAUGUUAGCGGCGGACGGGUGAGUAACACGUGGAUAACCUACCUAUAAGACUGGGAUAACUUCGGGAAACCGGAGCUAAUACCGGAUGAUAUUUUGAACCGCAUGGUUCAAAAGUGAAAGACGGUCUUGCUGUCACUUAUAGAUGGAUCCGCGCUGCAUUAGCUAGUUGGUAAGGUAACGGCUUACCAAGGCAACGAUGCAUAGCCGACCUGAGAGGGGGAUCGGCCACACUGGAACUGAGACACGGUCCAGACCCCUACGGGAGGCAGCAGUAGGGAAUCUUCCGCAAUGGGCGAAAGCCUGACGGAGCAACGGCGCGUGAGUGAUGAAGGGCUUCGGAUCGUAAAACUCUGUUAUUAGGGAAGAACAUAUGUGUAAGUAACUGUGCACAUCUUGACGGUACCUAAUCAGAAAGCCACGGCUAACUACGUG